rnacentral:rRNA from 1 species
CAGUAGCCGCGGGAAUACGAAGGGUGCAAGCGUUACUCGGAAUUACUGGGCGUAAAGCGUGUGUAGGUGGUUGUUUAAGUCUGUCGUGAAAGCCCUGGGCUCAACCUGGGAAUUGCGAUGGAUACUGGGCGACUAGAGUGCGGUAGAGGAUAGUGGAAUUUCCGGUGUAGCAGUGAAAUGCGUAGAGAUCGGAAGGAACAUCUGUGGCGAAGGCGACUAUCUGGGCCAACACUGACACUGAGACACGAAAGCGUUGGGAGCAAACAGGAUUAGAUACCCCCGUAGUCCCUGUCUCUUAUAA